rnacentral:lncRNA from 1 species
CCACCCGCAGCUCCGCCACCGAGUCAUCCUUCUUCCUCCAGUUUUUGGAUGAUCACAACAAAGACCCCCAAUCCCUCCCCGCAUCGGCCACCACUCUUGCGAACUGGACCCUCAGCAGGUGGGCGUGUAUUUUCUCCGAGUGAAGGUGGGACGCUCCACUCUGCCCUUGUCUCCUCAGGACGCACUAGCUUGCUGGGUUUGUUUGGUUCCUAAGGUACUCUCCUCACCAGCUCCUGAGUAACUGCGGGGAUGCAAAGCUGGCGAGGAACGCGCUUAGCAAAUGUAUUCGCGCAGCCGUGUGGGCUCCAUCUCUCCUGAUGGAGUCAACAGGCCUUCACGGAAUCGACCCACUGGUCAAAGUAUGGGAGACCCUCGAGGGGGUACUGGGGACUCAUACCCAGCUGGCUGGCACCUCAGCAGGUUUGUUAUG